rnacentral:lncRNA from 1 species
UGAAUAGUCAGUAUUCAUUGUAAAUGACACAUUUCUGCACAGGAAAUACACUGUAAAUUCAAUGGUACCUAUGCAAAUUUUCCUUCUAAAUCUUAGUGGCUUAAGCAGAGUGCAAUUAGUUUGCUGGCUUCAAACAUAGAUCAGUUGAGCGCAACCAACAGGAUUAUGAGGAAACACCAGGCAGAAACAUUGGCCAGGGUAGAGUUGGACUUUAGGAUGAAGUGGGGAAAGAUUGAGGGUUUUUUCAUAUGGGAGAUGUUGCUGCAUCCCUGCUGCAAUGGAGCCUUUAUUGCUUGCAAGAGCUGACAAGUUUUGCUACACUGACUGCUUCUAAAUACUAUGAAGUGCUUGUGAAUCUCAAGGCAUGCUUCUUACGUACGGGAUUUCCCCUGCUUAUGUUCUGCUGCAGUUUGUGUUGCUAAAAAUCAUAGAGAUGUCUCCAUUUGUAAGUCCAGGACGGAUUUCUAACUGGCCGUGGUUCAAAAUUCCUUCUUUAAGAGCAAGUUUCAACUUCAGCCCAUUGUUAUGAUGCAGUCUUCACAGAGCUGAGUCUGGCAACCUGAGCACAUUUUGCAGCUGAAGCACGCUUGUAGUCUGGGCACGUUAAACUCUGAUAUCCCCAAAUACCUCCUCCUUUCAUUCUGCUGGGUGUCUUCAUUUUCCCUAGGCCAUCUUGCCUGGCCUCAGGGCACCUGGGGGCAUAAUCCUAACUCUAGAUCCACAGCAACAGAGGAGCUGUCCCUGCAGUUUCCGUCGCUGAUCAUGGCACUAACACCCAGGGUGAUUUUUAGCCCUGGAGCGCGUGAUGAGAUGAACUGCAGUGAGAGUGACCAUGUCCCAGAGGUGCCACAGCCACACAGUGCCAGUCCUGGUGGUCAGAGAUGUACGCUGCGAUGGUUCUGCUGCUCCUCCCUCUGCUCUGAGCUCGUCGGGCCAAGAGCCAGGCCAAGCCCAAGGAAGCUGUACCAGUGGGAACAUCCAGAACCCAACGUGACCGCAGUCUGCAGAGAUGCUGCAGAGGAAGGAGGAUGCACAUGCGAGCAAAGGGAUUUCUUGCCUCCAUAACCAGCAAGAGAAUGUCAGCUUGUGCCAAUUCGAGCUAGAGACCAACGGACACAUGAGACCUGCACCAUUUCUUGUGGGAACACACAGCUGACUCCUUCCUGCCAUCUAGGAGUGGACAUGUCCUGCUUCUGAACAAAGGUUCUCGACAAAGGUGGAGACUGAGUGCCUUGCAUGUCACCUACCCUACCGGGCUGGGCUGGCCAGCAUGGCAGCAAAUUGCAUUUCUGCUCCAAGAGACGUAGAAGAUGAUUGCCAGGGAGACCUGCUCUCCACAGCCCUACAGCAAUUCCUCUGGAGGCCUCCUCUCCAAUCGGGGGAUCGUUUCAUAAGGGAUCGAUGGUGAUUGCCAAAACCUCUCUGCCCUGAAGCCAGCAAGGAUUCUCUCCUUUACUUGUCUGGACUCCUGUGAGAUGAUAGAGAACCCACGUGAAUAGCCCUUGGGACCUUCUGCCCAGCCCAGCAUCAGAAGACAGACUUAAAGAGAGAUGGGAACGGAGGUGAUGCACCUGGUGGGCUGCAGUGGUCCAGAAGAGGUAGUGUGUUGGAGCCAAACACCUGCAUGCUAGAAGAGCAGUGUGUUGUCAUUGCCUGGGAGAUGAAUACAGCAGGACAUAGCACCAUGGCCACUGAAGGGGAAUGCAGUGUAGCACUGUUGGACAGGCCUAAUCAGUCCUCCAGGUGCAAGCACUCAAGCCCCUGACAAGAUCCCCAGACUGGCUGCCCUGAGCUGCCACUCAGGGGCUCAAGCAGAUGAAAGCACUGUGCUUGGAGAGCAGGUGGAGCUUGCCUGGGCCAAGGUUGAGGAUAAAUCUCCAUAGAGCAUAAGAGAUGUGAGGAGUGUAGUGAGGAGGAGCAUAGUCAAGACAGUUGCAGGAAGACUCCAGGACAUAUCAGGGCCCUUUUUGCACACUCUUCUCCGGAGAGGUAAGUUGUUUUUGUACGCCCUCAUCUACCUCUAUUGCUUUGUUUUGGGGCCUCACUGGUUUCUAAGGUUGUUAAGCGUGG